GCCAGCAGCCGCGGUAAUUCCAGCUCCAAUAGCGUAUACUAAAGUUGUUGCGGUUAAAAAGCUCGUAGUUGGAUCUUGGAAUGUGUUCAAGCGGGUCAGCUUCUGGCUGUGCGCUGCUUGGCGUGUUCUUCUAUUUGGUUUUGGUGCGGUGCGCUUAACUGCGUGUCGCUCCCGGCCGAAACGUUUACCUUGAAAAAAUUAGAGUGUUCAAAGCAGACCUGUUUGAGUCUGAAUAUUCGUGCAUGGAAUAAUGAAAUAUGAAUUCGGUUCUAUUUUGUUGGUUUUCGGAACUCGAGUUAAUGAUCAAGAGGGACAGACGGGGGCAUUCGUACUCUGCCGUUAGAGGUGAAAUUCUUGGAUCGGCGGAAGACGCGCAACUGCGAAAGCAUUUGCCAAGAAUGUUUUCUUUAAUCAAGAACGAUAGUCGGAGGUUCGAAGACGAUCAGAUACCGUCCUAGUUUCGACUGUAAACUAUGCCAGCUAACGAUCAGACAGAGUUCUCUACGACUUGUCUGGCAGUUUCCGGGAAACCAAAGCGUUUGGGUUCCGGGGGAAGUAUGGUUGCAAAGCUGAAACUUAAAGGAAUUGACGGAAGGGCACCACCAGGAGUGGAGCCUGCGGCUUAAUUUGACUCAACACGGGGAAACUCACCCGGCCCGGACACAGUGAGGAUUGACAGAUUGAGAGUUCUUUCUUGAUUCUGUGGGUGGUGGUGCAUGGCCGUUCUUAGUUGGUGGAGCGAUUUGUCUGGUUAAUUCCGAUAACGAACGAGACUCUGGCAUGUUAAAUAGUCGCGGAAGUGCGUAUGCACUUGCCGAAUUGACUUCUUAGAGGGACUAGUGAUUUUAAUUCACACGAGAUUGAGCAAUAACAGGUCUGUGAUGCCCA
rnacentral:rRNA from 1 species